UCCCUAGAUAUAUCGAGAACAUUCUGGGC
rnacentral:sRNA from 1 species